UAACGCAGUGCCUGUUCAGACUGAUUCAUUAGAGACUGAUUCAUUAGAGACUGAUUCAUUAGAGCUAGACUCAUAACGCAGUGCCUGUUCAGACUGAUUCAUUAGAGACUGAUUCAUUAGAGACUGAUUCAUUAGAGCUAGACUCAUAACACAGUGCCUGUUCAGACUGAUUCAUUAGAGACUGAUUCAUUAGAGACUGAUUCAUUAGAGCUAGACUCAUAACACAGUGCCUGUUCAGACUGAUUCAUUAGAGACUGAUUCAUUAGAGACUGAUUCAUUAGAGACUGAUUCAUUAGAGACUGAUUCAUUAGAGACUGAUUCAUUAGAGCUAGACUCAUAACACAGUGCCUGUUCAGACUGAUUCAUUAGAGACUGAUUCAUUAGAGACUGAUUCAUUAGAGACUGAUUCAUUAGAGCUAGACUCAUAACGCAGUGCCUGUUCAGACUGAUUCAUUAGAGACUGAUUCAUUAGAGACUGAUUCAUUAGAGACUGAUUCAUUAGAGACUGAUUCAUUAGAGCUAGACUCAUAACGCAGUGCCUGUUCAGACUGAUUCAUUAGAGACUGAUUCAUUAGAGACUGAUUCAUUAGAGCUAGACUCAUAACGCAGUGCCUGUUCAGACUGAUUCAUUAGAGACUGAUUCAUUAGAGACUGAUUCAUUAGAGCUAGACUCAUAACGCAGUGCCUGUUCAGACUGAUUCAUUAGAGACUGAUUCAUUAGAGACUGAUUCAUUAGAGCUAGACUCAUAACGCAGUGCCUGUUCAGACUGAUUCAUUAGAGACUGAUUCAUUAGAGACUGAUUCAUUAGAGACUGAUUCAUUAGAGACUGAUUCAUUAGAGACUGAUUCAUUAGAGACUGAUUCAUUAGAGACUGAUUCAUUAGAGACUGAUUCAUUAGAGACUGAUUCAUUAGAGACUGACUCAUAACACAGUGCCUGUUCAGAUUGAUUCAUUCAUUAGACUGUUUUGUUUGAAACAACAUGUUUAUGCCAGGGUUGGCGUCAAUUCAGGAAGUUAACUGAGAUUUCGAUUCAAAAUCCUAUUCUCUUUAUUGCUUUUCAAUGAGGAAAAUGUGGAAUUGGAAUUUGGUUUACUUUCUGAAUUGACUGAUAUUGAAAUGGAAUUGACCUCCCCUGCUUUCUGCUAAUCCUAAAACAUGGUUUAUGGUUAGCAGAAAGAGAGAGUACCGAGUCGUGCCUAAUGCUUUGAGUACUGACUUGUUUCGGGGCUUAAUGGUUUGAGUACUGAGUAGUGACUUGUUUCAGGGCUUAAUGCUUUGAGUACUGAGUAGUGACUUGUUUCAGGGCUUAAUGCUUUCAGUAGUGACUUGUUUCGGGGCUUAUUGCUUUGACUACUGACUUGUUUCGGGGCUUAAUGCUUUGAGUACUCAGCAGUGACUUGUUUCGGAGCUUAAUGCUUUGAGUAGUGACUUGUUUCGGGGCUUAAUGCUUUGAGUAGUGACUUGUUUCAGGGCUUAAUGCUUUGAGUAGUGACUUGUUUCGGGGCUUAAUCCUUUGAGUACUGAGUAGUGACUUGUUUCAGGGCUUAAUGCUUUGAGUAGUGACUUGUUUCGGGGCUUAAUGCUUUGAGUAGUGACUUGUUUCGGGGCUUAAUGCUUUGAGUAGUGACUUGUUUCGGGGCUUAAUGCUUUGAGUAGUUACUUGUUUCGGGGCUUAAUGCUUUGAGUAGUGACUUGUUUCGGGGCUUAAUGCUUUGAGUACUGAGUAGUGACUUGUUUCAGGGCUUAAUGCUUUGAGUAGUGACUUGUUUCGGGGCUUAAUGCUUUGAGUACUGAGUAGUGACUUGUUUCAGGGCUUAAUGCUUUGAGUAGUGACUUGUUUCGGGGCUUAAUGCUUUGAGUAGUGACUUGUUUCAGGGCUUAAUGCUUUGAGUAGUGACUUGUUUCGGGGCUUAAUGCUUUGAGUACUGAGUAGUGACUUGUUUCAGGGCUUAAUGCUUUGAGUAGUGACUUGUUUCGGGGCUUAAUGCUUUGAGUAGUGACUUGUUUCGGGGCUUAAUGCUUUGAGUACUGAGUAGUGACUUGUUUCAGGGCUUAAUGCUUUGAGUAGUGACUUGUUUCAGGGCUUAAUGCUUUGAGUAGUGACUUGUUUCGGGGCUUAAUGCUUUGAGUAGUGACUUGUUUCGGGGCUUAAUGCUUUGAGUAGUGACUUGUUUCAGGGCUUAAUGCUUUGAGUAGUGACUUGUUUCGGGGCUUAAUGCUUUGAGUAGUGACUUGUUUCGGGGCUUAAUGCUUUGAGUAGUGACUUGUUUCGGGGCUUAAUGCUUUGAGUACUCAGUAGUGACUUGUUUCGGGGCUUAAUGCUUUGAGUACUGAGUAGUGACUUGUUUCGGGGCUUAAUGCUUUGAGUAGUGACUUGUUUCGGGGCUUAAUGCUUUGAGUAGUGACUUGUUUCGGGGCUUAAUGCUUUGAGUACUGAGUAGUGACUUGUUUCGGGGCUUAAUGCUUUGAGUAGUGACUUGUUUCAGGGCUUAAUGCUUUGAGUAGUGACUUGUUUCAGGGCUUAAUGCUUUGAGUAGUGACUUGUUUCAGGGCUUAAUGCUUUGAGCAGUGACUUGUUUCGGGGCUUAAUGCUUUGAGUAGUGACUUGUUUCGGGGCUUAAUGCUUUGAGUAGUGACUUGUUUCGGGGCUUAAUGCUUUGAGUAGUGACUUGUUUCGGGGCUUAAUGCUUUGAGUAGUGACUCGUUUCAGUGCCUUUAUUGUAGAAUGACUUGUUGGUUGGUCUGUAGAUUGUUUUCAGAUGCCACCUCCCCUUCUCUUCAAGCCCAGCUCUCCUAUCUCUCAGAGUUUGUGGACAGGACAGGUUCCUACCCUUUUUAAAAUGUACGUGUGAUCAGGGUGGUUGGCAGGUAGCCAAGGAGCGCUGCAGUUUCCCCCAAGCAACUCGUGUCAAGCAGAUCACACAAUUUACCACGGCCUACAGCAGGACUGGUCUACAGGGUAAUAGUAGUGUGGGUAGGAGCCAGUGUCUGGAGUUAGACCAGAUUAAUAACCCACUGUCUGGAGUUAGACCAGAUUAACAGCGUUAAUAACCCACUGUCUGGAGUUAGACCAGAUAACGGCAUUAAUAACCCAUCUGGAAUUAGACCAGAUUAAUAACCCACUGUCUGGAGUUAGACCAGAUUAACGGCGUUAAUAACCCAUCUGGAAUUAGACCAGAUUAACAGCGUUAAUAACCCACUGUCUGGAGUUAGACCAGAUUAACGGCAUUAAUAACCCACUGUCUGGAGUUAGACCAGAUAACGGCAUUAAUAACCCAUCUGGAAUUAGACCAGAUUAAUAACCCACUGUCUGGAGUUAGACCAGAUUAACGGCGUUAAUAACCCAUCUGGAAUUAGACCAGAUUAACGGCAUUAAUAACCCACUGUCUGGAAUUAGACCAGAUUAACGUCAUUAAUAACCCACUGUCUGGAGUUAGACCAGAUUAAUAACCCACUGUCUGGAAUUAGACCAGAUUAACGUCAUUAAUAACCCACUGUCUGGAGUUAGACCAGAUUAACAACCCACUGUCUGGAGUUAGACCAGAUUAACGGCAUUAAUAACCCACUUCUGGAAUUAGACCAGAUUAACAACCCACUGUCUGGAGUUAGACCAGAUUAACGUCAUUAAUAACCCACUGUCUGGAGUUAGACCAGAUUAACGGCGUUAAUAACCCACUGUCUGGAGUUAGACCAGAUUAACGUCAUUAAUAACCCACUGUCUGGGGUUAGACCAGAUUAAUAUCCCACUGUCUGGAGUUAGACCAGAUUAACGUCAUUAAUAACCCACUGUCUGGGGUUAGACCAGAUUAAUAACUCACUGUCUGGAGUUAGACCAGAUUAACAACUCACUGUCUGGGGUUAGACCAGAUUAAUAUCCCACUGUCUGGAGUUAGACCAGAUUAACGACAUUAAUAACCCACUGUCUGGAGUUAGACCAGAUUAACGUCAUUAAUAUGCCUCUGUCUGGAGUUAGACCUUAGACCAGAUUAACAACCCACUGUCUGGAGUUAGACCAGAUUAACGGCGUUAAUAACCCAUCUGGAAUUAGACCAGAUUAACAACCCACUGUCUGGAGUUAGACCAGAUUAACGGCGUUAAUAACCCACUGUCUGGGGUUAGACCAGAUUAACGGCAUUAAUAACCCACUGUCUGGAGUUAGACCAGAUUAACGUCAUUAAUAACCCAUCUGGAAUUAGACCAGAUUAACAACCCACUGUCUGGAGUUAGACCAGAUUAACGUCAUUAAUAACCCACUGUCUGGGGUUAGACCAGAUUAACGGCAUUAAUAACCCACUGUCUGGAGUUAGACCAGAUUAACGUCAUUAAUAACCCACUGUCUGGAGUUAGACCAGAUUAACGGCGUUAAUAACCCACUGUCUGGAGUUAGACCAGAUUAACGUCAUUAAUAACCCACUGUCUGGAGUUAGACCAGAUUAACGCCAUUAACAACCCACUGUCUGGGGUUAGACCAGAUUAACAUCAUUAAUAACCCAGUGUCUGGAGUUAGACCAGAUUAACGUCAUUAAAAACCCACUGUCUGGAAUUAGACCAGAUUAACGUCAUUAAUAACCCACUGUCUGGAGUAAAACCAGAUUAACGUCAUUAAUAACCCACUGUCUGGGGUUAGACCAGAUUAACGUCAUUAAUAACCCACUGUCUGGAGUUAGACCAGAUUAACGCCAUUAACAACCCACUGUCUGGGGUUAGACCAGAUUAACAUCAUUAAUAACCCAGUGUCUGGAGUUAGACCAGAUUAACGCCAUUAACAACCCACUGUCUGGGGUUAGACCAGAUUAACAUCAUUAAUAACCCAGUGUCUGGAGUUAGACCAGAUUAACGUCAUUAAUAACCCACUGUCUGGAGUUAGACCAGAUUAAUAACCCACUGUCUGGGGUUAGACCAGAUUAACGUCAUUAAUAACCCACUGUCUGGAGUUAGACCAGAUUAAUAACCCACUGUCUGGAGUUAGACCAGAUUAAUAACCCACUGUCUGGAGUUAGACCAGAUUAAUAACCCACUGUCUGGAGUUAGACCAGAUUAACGUCAUUAACAACCCACUGUCUGGAGUUAGACCAGAUUAAUAACCCACUGUCUGGGGUUACACCAGAUUAACGGCGUUAAUAACCCACUGUCUGGAGUUAGACCAGAUUAACGUCAUUAAAAACCCACUUCACAUAAAAUAGUGUCUGUUUUGCACUGAAUUUUAAAACAACCCAUUUAUCAAACGGAUAGCGUUAGAAAUUAGUCUGCACUGCUUCCGUGAUAAUGAAUGACAAAUUAGCAUGCUGUUAUUGAUAUGCUAUUAUGGACCACCACCAUGACUGGUAACAUGAACGACCUGAAUGUUUAGGCUUCUGACACAUUUACCUGUCCUGGAAUGACUGCAGCCUUGUAUCGUACUGUGAUGACCUGGGAUGUGUUCAUUAGGGACGAAACAGAAGAAACCUGAUUUAAAACUACCUGCACUAGUAGUCCAAUAACAAACACUAAUGUAUAUUUUCCCUGUUGUUAAAACAUUUUUUGCUACGGUGUGGCCUACUGAACACUAACCCUUCUUUUUUUAAGAGGUCAAAUGGCACAUAGGGGUUGAAAGUAGUGCACUUUUUUAUUAGUGGAUAGGUUGCCAGUUGGGACACUGGUCCCUGUGUGUGUGUCUGGCAGGGAUGUUACGGUUACAGAAGGCUGUGUCACAAAGGGCAUCCUAUUCUCUAUGUAAUACACUGCUUUGGAUCAGGCUAGCUUUAGCUUUGGAUCAGGCUAGCUUUAGCUUUGGAGCAGGCUAGCUUUAGCUUUGGAGCAGGCUAGCUUUAGCUUUGGAUCAGGCUAGCUUUAGCUUUUUAGCAGGCUAGCUUUAGCUUUGGAGCAGGCUAGCUUUAGCUUUGGAUCAGGCUAGCUUUAGCUUUGGAGCAGGCUAGCUUUAGCUUUGGAUCAGGCUAGCUUUAGCUUUGGAUCAGGCUAGCUUUAGCUUUGGAUCAGGCUAGCUUUAGCUUUGGAGCAGGCUAGCUUUAGCUUUGGAUCAGGCUAGCUUUAGCUUUGGAACAGGCUAGCUUUGCUCGGUUUAUGUAGUCCCCUUAACUAUUGCUGUUGUGUGAUUUUUUUUUUUUAAUGUCAAUGAUCUUUCACUUUAUGCGUCCUCGGCACCACUGUUUUUAUUUUUUCAUUCAUGCUGUACUGUGAUUUUGUUGUUGUUGUUGUUAUUUGUUUUGUUUAUAAUGAAACUGUUCUCUCUGUCCACUAAUUACAAUUAAUAAAUAAACUUACCUCUGAGUUUAAAGGUCUCAUCCACUUCGUAAAGUCAUACCUUAUUUUUGAAAAAAUAAUCUCACCACAUCUGUGAUGGAAACAGGAAGUGUCGGUACAAUUUUAUAAAUGC
rnacentral:lncRNA from 1 species